rnacentral:lncRNA from 1 species
CUGUUUUUGCUUCUCUUUUAUUUCUGUCAGAAGAAUAUUGACUUUGAAAUUUUGCUUAGUUUACAUGUAUUAGUUUGUGUUUAGAUUUGUUUAAAGGCAACUACUUGUGAUAAGUCAAUGGGAUUUGGUAAGUAGGUCCGAGACCACAAUUGUCGUCCCUUGAUUAAUAUAGUCCCUAGUGUUAACAGUGGGUUACUUGCCAAUAAUUUUU